AUACGGAGGGUGCGAGCGUUAUCCGGAUUUAUUGGGUUUAAAGGGUACGCAGGCGGAAUAAUAAGUCAGAGGUGAAAUCCCACAGCUUAACUGUGGAACUGCCUUUGAUACUGUUAUUCUUGAGUGCAGAUGAGGUGGGCGGAAUGUGACAUGUAGCGGUGAAAUGCAUAGAUAUGUCACAGAACACCGAUUGCGAAGGCAGCUCACUAAACUGAUACUGACGCUGAGGUACGAAAGCGUGGGGAGCGAACAGGAUUAGAAACCCCAGUAGUCC
rnacentral:rRNA from 1 species